rnacentral:lncRNA from 1 species
AUGCAGCUGGUGAAUGGACACAGUACUGUUGGCAUCGAAGAGGAGCACAUUAAGACACUACACACCAGUGAGGAAGAGGAGGGCACUAAAACAUCACACACUCACCCUCAACCCAGACUGUUCCUCAUCCUCUUCAUCCUCCUGACUUUGGCUCUGCUGCUAAUCCUGUUGCUGUCUUCCUACGCUGUCUAUCUCAUGGUUGUGACAACAUCUUGGAUGGGUGAGUUAGCAGGCGGUAGUGAGGUGGAGAGGACUUACCUGGGGGAGAUGAGACCGUGGAAGACUCUCCUUCAACAGUACCUAGACCUCAGCCAGAGCCGCUGCUCAUAGUGAGAUACAGGAGGCCAGGGUGCAUUGGAAGACACCUGUGAGUGAGCAGCACGAGCCAGCUAGCGCUCUGGCAGUGGAGCCAACGCCUCAGCGGGAACCCGACUUGAUCUCCUCUAGAAACAUUGCCUAGGAGCCCAAAACACAGCCACCCUGACAGAAACGGAGAGAUACACAGCCAAUAGUGGAGUUUACUUAUAUCAUGUGCUGAACACCCUUUUAUUCCCUUAAUGUGCUGGUGAGUGAGAAUAUUCUGUACCCUUUCGUAGCCUUUUUACACUGGUUAAUAAAUUAUUAUACUU